rnacentral:rRNA from 1 species
GUGAACGCUGGCGGUAGGCCUAACACAUGCAAGUCGAACGGCAGCACAGUAAGAGCUUGCUCUUACGGGUGGCGAGUGGCGGACGGGUGAGGAAUACAUCGGAAUCUACUUUUUCGUGGGGGAUAACGUAGGGAAACUUACGCUAAUACCGCAUACGACCUACGGGUGAAAGCAGGGGAUCUUCGGACCUUGCGCGAUUGAAUGAGCCGAUGUCGGAUUAGCUAGUUGGCGGGGUAAGGGCCCACCAAGGCGACGAUCCGUAGCUGGUCUGAGAGGAUGAUCAGCCACACUGGAACUGAGACACAGUCCAGACUCCUACGGGAGGCAGCAGUGGGGAAUAUUGGACAAUGGGCGCAAGCCUGAUCCAGCCAUACCGCGUGGGUGAAGAAGGCCUUCGGGUUGUAAAGCCCUUUUGUUGGGAAAGAAAAGCAGCAGGUUAAUACCCCGCUGUUCUGACGGUACCCAAAGAAUAAGCACCGGCUAACUUCGCG